UCUAGAAAAAUACCUGUUUAAAGCGUGAUAGCAGUACUGGCUUGAUUACUCCUGUGUCUAAAGGAGCUACUCCAUUUUGCUUCACCAGUUGCACAAAGCCCAUCCUUUCCUCCUUAAAGUUUACUCCUAUUGUUGCACUAAGUCCAAGUCAUCCUAAUUGCACCUAUAACUGGCAGUGUUUGAACAAUCCAGAGAAAGAGUAUCCAUCAACUCCCGUAAUAUAUAAUAAUGACCCUUUACUUUUCAAGUGCUGUGUCUGUUGAUGGACAUGUCAAAGAAACGGCUCAUUUUGAUGUUUCUUUUCAGCCUUUGACUGAUUAUUCUGAUGGUGACAUCACAGAAUCUAUUCAUUCUAAGCAAUUUUCAUCACGUCCUCGUUAUAAAAUUUUGUCUAUUCCACCUCCAACAUAAGAAAUAAUCUGAGCCACAGAUCACUUCAACAAAAGUAGAGAAAUUAAAAGGGUGGCUAUGGUAGGGUAUAUUUGGCAAAAGACUUGAGAUCCAUUGGUACAAAAGCAGCAGUGAAGGUUCUUUCAAAGGAGGGAUCAGAAGCCAUGGCUCGAGGAAGUUCAGAAUCACAACAAAUAGAGACUGAAUUGAAGGCAUUGAUGAAGUGCCAAGUUGUUAUAAUAAAUGGUUUUUUUUUAUUUUAGAUUUUGUCACCAAAACAUUUUAGAAAUUAUGGGGUACUGUUUUUAUUCUGAACUUAAAGCACUCGUGUCUAGGUACAUGGAGAAUGGGUCACUUUACUUAUGGAUUCACAAGGUUAAGUUAUGCUUAAUAAGUUGGAUAUAUGAAAAUA